UACGUAGGGUGCAAGCGUUGUCCGGAAUUAUUGGGCGUAAAGAGCUCGUAGGCGGUCUGUCACGUCGGACGUGAAAAUCCAGGGCUCAACCCUGGACCUGCGUCCGAUACGGGCAGACUAGAGGUAUGCAGGGGAGAACGGAAUUCCUGGUGUAGCGGUGAAAUGCGCAGAUAUCAGGAGGAACACCGGUGGCGAAGGCGGUUCUCUGGGCAUUACCUGACGCUGAGGAGCGAAAGUGUGGGGAGCGAACAGG
rnacentral:rRNA from 1 species